UUGAGGUAUUUAAAAAAAACGUUUAAGUAUUUAAUCAUGUUUUUUUUUACGUAUGUAAGAGGACGCUGGACGCCGAAGAGUACGCUGUAGCACCGUCAUCGUCCCCAUGGAUGUUUCAGGUAUAUGUUUUACACGUUUAUUUGCCUAACCAUGUUUUUCUUACGUAUUUAGGAGGGUUUUAUCAUAGCAGAAGAGGACCAGUGGACAAUGAGGUUCGUCGUCGGAGGCACCAUAAUUGUUGCCAAAAAUAAUCAAGAGGGCUCCGCCACCAUUGAAAAGGAUGUUGGACGUCGUUGGAGGUACUAUGAUCGCCGUCCAAAAUUGGGAAGUAUUUUUUUGUUAAUUUUUAAGUCUUACACUAUGAUUUUAUUGUGAUUUUAUGUAUUUAGGAGGGCCCUACCACCAUCGAAGAAGAUGUUGGGUAUUCAGGACCGCCGCUGGAGCAACGAAAUCGUCACCAUGGAUGUUGCAGGUAUAUGUUAACACGUGUAAGUGUCUAAUCAUGUUUUUUUUUUAUGUAUUUAGGACGGUCCACAUUACCACGUAGAGGAUCAUAGGACAACGAGUGUCGCUGCCGGAGCUACCGUAAUUGUUGCCCAAAUUUGUCAAGAGGGUCCCAACACCGUCGAAGAGCACGCUGGAGGAAGGAGGUUCGCCGCCCAGCCCCGAGAUUUAUACCCAUUAAGAAGACGGAAAUAAAGAUGAAUCUUGAGGACGUGUAGCGAGCGCAAAGAUAUGGAAGAAUCAAGCACCACUCUCAAGCGUCGCAUCGUUAAAAUUAAAGGGGAUUAUAGUUCAUCAUGGCGACGAUAUUACACUAACUGAAAGCCUUGACCACAGAAGAGAAUUUAAAUGAAGUUAUAGAAAUUCUCCUGGAUUUUGAAAAACAGAC